ACUGCCACAACCCUUCAAAUGUUUAUUAAAGUUUAUCCCCGUCUUACCUUCCUCUCCAUGAUAUAUGAGUUUAUUUAAUAGGAAAAUAAUUUUUUUCAGAGUCCCUGCUGUGAUGCCAUGGGAUCAGCAGCACCAGGACACAGGUUCGAUCCCAGGCCCGGCACAGUGGAUUAAGAAUUCAGUGUUGCCGGGUAAUUUGUCACUAUGGCUUGGAUCUGAUCCCUGGCCCAGGAAUUCCAUAUGCUAUGGGGUGGCCAAACAAAAGCAGUCCUUUUUUCCUUCCCAGAUCUUCAAACGGAUGUCGUUCCAGACGUACUGUCAGGGAGUUCCGUGUCUGGGAAUCACGGCAUUAAUUGUAGAAAACCUCUCAACAGUGAACACCUGACACCUUUAUCAAGGCCAACAAGUAGAUCUCCAUGCCACUGUAGAUGGUAUUAUGUGACCACAUUAAUAUCUAUAAUAGAAGAAAAAAGUAGAAAAUGUUAGUAUCUAUCUUUGUCCCGGAAAGAAGAGGCUUACGCAAAAUUAAGAGAGCCAUUCUGGUACAUUCUCAUCCUUGAACUGCCCUCAGCCCUGGCUCUCCUCAUCCUGCCCCAUCCCCCUUCCGCAUGUGGCCUCCUCAGAGCUGUGCCUCCAGCCGAGCCUCCUAAGACUCAGUCGGCUUUGGCCCCUCGCAGCUCAAACAGGGUCUGAAGACACGGACAGAACACUGUAAACCAACUGUAAUGGAACAAAUAAAAAUCAUUCAUAAAAAAAGAUUAGCAUGUGUAAGAAGCAUUGCGGUGAAGUUGAGAUCAUGAAGACGGCUUUGCAGACUGGGAAGAAAAACGUGGUCUGGGUUCCCGCAGCAUCGGCAUCACCUGGGAGACCCCUCCCCGACUCUCUCUCUCCAGAUCCCAGAUCCGCUAACGGAGGCCCUGCGUUAGCACAGGAUCUCCAGGUAAUCUGCAUUCUCCUCCGUGUCUGAGAGAUGCAGCUCUGGCCCUCUCUCUCCCUCGUUCCUUGCAUGGCUAUUUAUUUGUAGCCAUUCUCUCCCAGCUGCCUCUGAAGAAAGAGUCUGCUAAACGCCUCGCUCCUAAGGCAUUCCUGAUAACAACCUAGCCUAAGAUAGACAUCUGACCUACCCUGCUUAUCCUAAAAGCCCCAACCCAAAUAUAGAAUAACUGGGUUAGGCUUUCUCCACCCUCAGACUGCUGAAGAAGGAAUAUUUGAGGAAGGAGAUUCGCUCUAAUGCUCGUCAAAUCGUACCAUGGAAAACAGUUUAAAGCAGUAGGAUGUGAACUCAGAAAAAGAUAAUAAAUAAAAAAUGGCGAAAGGCUAUAAAUAGGACAGACUGCUAAGAACUGUGUCUCUGAGGGAAAUCAGUUUCUUUAAACCCUAAGUCAUUUUCGCAAUGUCAGAUAAAAAGCAUAAUUACAACAUCUCAGGGAUACUAUUGUGAAAUUUGGCUUUCUGAUCUUGUUCCAGAAAGCAAACAUUUCUAGAGAAGGGAGCAAAGAUUUUUGUCAAUCUUGUAUUAAACACUCACGUCUGCUCAUGUAUUUUGUAAGGUGCUGUGGUUUUAUAACACUUGGACUUGAGAGGCGCAAAGUACAAAACUCUAAAAACAAAUCAAGCAAAUGAGAAAAGGCAAGUAUUUAUACCACAGAACUAUACUAAUCAUAAAUACUCCAGCCUGUGGGUCCAAAGCUCUAAACACACAGAGAGUUGACUCCUUGAAUGAUAAAAUUCUGCUACCCUGAAAGUCUAAUCUGGUGAUUUUUUUAUUGCAACCCAUGCCUUUUUCCAAACCAUUGAUAGACAGGGGCUUUUCACACUGACACCUAAUCUGGCUCCAUGAGACUGUGCAACACGGUGGGGUGUUGGACCAAAUGCGAAGAUGCUGAGGAAGAACAUUUGAAAUGUGAGUGCAAGUUUUAAAAAAGGAACCAGUGAUAAAACCAAGAUAAACAACCAAAGAGAAACAUGAAUCUCUCUCAUGCUGUGGAUAUGUAAGACAUUACUAUUGGAAGAGGCUGGAUGAAGAGCACAAGGGGUCUCUCUGUACUAUUUUUGCCACUUUCUAUGAGACUGCUAUUUCAAAACAAAAAAAAAUUUUUGAAGUAUGGAUGUCACCUGGGACCCAGUCCUGAUGCUCAGAACUGGACAAGAGGCAGAGGAGCACAUAAGUAAGUGGCCCGAGACAGACUGGAUAACAGGGUACAAAGGACUCUGGUUGUGUGGAAGCCCGAGAGGUCCAAAUGGAAGAAUCUGAGAGACCCUCUCAGAGAAGGCAGGAUUUCCGCUGAGCCUUGAGUGAUGGGCAAUGCUUUAGGGGCGAGGAGAGAUGGGGGGUUCUUCCCAAGCCCAGGGAGCAAAGGAGGCCGUGAGAAAGUGCCGAGUAUGUUUGAGAACAGCUAAUGAACCCAUGAAGCUGGCGAGUGGGACUUGGGAGGGGAGUGAGGGAAGAGAUGCUUGGGAGAUGAGACUGGAAAGGAAGAUCAGGCCUUUGGAUGCCAAGCUAGGGAAGCUGGACUGUACCAAAAUCUCUCUCUUUUUUUUUUUUUUUGUCUUUUCUAGGGCAGCACACGCAGCCUAUGGAGGUUGGAAGGAAGAACUGGGCCUGUGUGUUUAUCCAGGAAGAUCUCUCUUCUGGCAGAUGCGGCCCUCAAGCCCAUGACCCAAGAAGGGCA
rnacentral:lncRNA from 1 species